UGGCAAUGUUUCUGUGAUCUGUUCUGUAGUGUGCUGCAGACAGUGAGGAACCUGAGUUGUAGGAAACCAAAUAGAAAGGUUGAGUCCAGUUUCCCGCUGGGUUUUCUUUUAAAGCCAAGGAAGCGGGGCUCUGAGUCCGUGGCUAACGGCACCCUGCGUCUCCUGAGAUCCAGGAACAGGGAGGAUCGAGCCAACUCCCUAACGAUGUCCUAAUAAUGUCAUGAGUGCUGUGUGUAUUCAGUCCAAACCACUUUCGCACCAAGCUCACUGUUUUGUUAUUCAUUUCGCUCAGCACUUUCUGCUGUAUAUGAACGUUGGAGAACACUCACACACACACACACACACACACACACACACACACACACACACACACACACACACACACACACACACACACACACACACACACACACGAUCUGAUGGUGUUUUAUUUGUUCAGGACGGGCGUCUGAUAGCAGAUCCAUCAGAUCCUCAAACACUGAUUGAUCCUGUGAUGGCUGUAAAAUCUGAUCGUCUCGUCACGUCUCGCUGUGUGAAUCUAAAUCAUGAGAUCAUCUGUGAUGCUUCAGGAUUCAGACGGGAGACCAUGUUCAGAGUGAGGAAUGAGACUGCAGCGAUUCCAAACUCAGGUGAGGUUCAGCUGAACGUCUGAUUAUUCACUAAUAAACCACUGCAGAUCUGAUUCA
ensembl:lncRNA